rnacentral:rRNA from 1 species
UACAGAGGUCUCAAGCGUUGCUCGGAAUCACUGGGCGUAAAGCGCACGUAGGCGGACUCUUAAGUCAGGGGUGAAAUCCUGGAGCUCAACUCCAGAACUGCCUUUGAUACUGAAGAUCUUGAGUCCGGGAGAGGUGAGUGGAACUGCGAGUGUAGAGGUGAAAUUCGUAGAUAUUCGCAAGAACACCAGUGGCGAAGGCGGCUCACUGGCCCGAUACUGACGCUGAGGUGCGAAAGCGUGGGGAGCAAACAGG